GGCGACGCCGGUCAGGCCGCGAAGGCGAUCGCAAAGGCCCACCCCGGCUGGUGGGUUCACGCCGGCGUGCUGAGCUGAGCUCGUCAUCCUGAGGUGUGAGCCGCGCUUGCNNNNCUCGAAGGAUGACGGGAGAUCAGAUCAAUUGCCGUCGUCCUUCGAGGCUCGCAAGAGCUCGCACCUCAGGAUGACGGCGAAAAUACAGUUCGCAUCUUGGAGUGUUCGCUCAGUGCGAGCGCGCCAGGCAGAACGCGACAACCUGUUCGAGCGCGAUCUUCAUCGGUGAUGGCGGAAACAGCGCCAGCGCAUCGACCGCCAUCGC
rnacentral:misc_RNA from 1 species